rnacentral:lncRNA from 1 species
CGCCCGGCUCCCAGCACACCCACAGCCGGCAGCAAGGCCGGGAAGCGCCGGGAAAGGGAGCUGGGAAGAAGCUGCACCCCCAGGAAUGCUGGAUACGGGCAGAGGAGUCAAUCCCAUCCCUACAGAGCCGAGGCUGGGAGGGCUGGGAGCCGCCGUGGGAAGUUUUAUGUUGUCAUAAAGCUCUGCACACCCAGAUAUACAGCCCGAGCCAGGGUGCACACUCCGAAAUGCUGCUGUGCAGCCACGUGUGCCACAAGGCCUGGCACACGUGCAGGGAGAGGCUCUGGACAGAGCCCCCACCCCUCCCGAGGGAUCCUUUCCCCGCCGUUACCCACGGCAGGAGCAGAGCAUGGGUGACAGGGGAUCGAUUUGUGAGCCUGCUCCAAAAAAAAAACCUCAUUUCAAGGAAAACUUAGAUGAGCAAGCAAGUCGUACAUCAUCUCCUGUAAAUCAUUUGCUGGGCUCGGGGAGGUGAGAGGCAGGGGUGGCUUGGGAGAGAGGGGAUGGAGGAGGGCCCCUGGUCGGGACCCCAUUGCUGAGGCAGAGCACUGGACAUGGGGGGCCUGGGAGUGGGG